CCUGGGAGAUCAGCUGGCCCUGCUCUGAAAAUGACUUGGGCCUUACGGUGUCCUGAGCCGGCCGGGUUGUAGGGGUUGGAGCGCUGCGUGAAGAGAAAACUAAAAUUAUAGAGUGGAAGAAGAAGCACCCUAAGCAGCAAGAAUACUUUCUGAGAGGAAACACUUCUGAUCUGAGACCUCUUGCAACAAAUCAAACUGUGUUCUCGACACUUUAUCCAGAAAUGGAGACCAUGACCCAGUUACAGGUGAGUUAC